CUGCUUCAGCAGCAUACAUACAAAAACUGAAAUAUAAUAGAGAAGAUUAGCAUGGGCCAUGAAAAAAGGAUGAAACACAAAUUGAUGAAGCAUUCUGUUAUUUU